UACACUCCUACGGGAGGCAGCAGUGGGGAAUUUUGGACAAUGGGCGAAAGCCUGAUCCAGCAAUGCCGCGUGAGUGAAGAAGGCCUUCGGGUUGUAAAGCUCUUUUGUCAGGGAAGAAACGGUGAAAGCUAAUAUCUUUUGCUAAUGACGGUACCUGAAGAAUAAGCACCGGCUAACUACGUGCCAGCAGCCGCGGUAAUACGUAGGGUGCAAGCGUUAAUCGGAAUUACUGGGCGUAAAGCGUGCGCAGGCGGUUUUGUAAGUCUGAUGUGAAAUCCCCGGGCUCAACCUGGGAAUUGCAUUGGAGACUGCAAGGCUAGAAUCUGGCAGAGGGGGGUAGAAUUCCACGUGUAGCAGUGAAAUGCGUAGAUAUGUGGAGGAACACCGAUGGCGAAGGCAGCCCCCUGGGUCAAGAUUGACGCUCAUGCACGAAAGCGUGGGGAGCAAACAGGAUUAGAAACCCCAGUAGUCCCA
rnacentral:rRNA from 1 species